rnacentral:lncRNA from 1 species
CCACUUGAGAUGGGCAUGUCACCAUCACUCCUGCGUGAGCUUCAGAGAGCCAGGUCACCUCUACUCAGUUCUAACAUCUGCUCCAGGGUUUCAAUUCCAUCCUGUUGCUCUUCUUGCCCAGGGCCAGAGGCCAAGAUGGAUUCCUGACUAGCUGACAGCUGUGCCUACCCCAUAGGGCUCUCGGAGCUAAUCCUACAAAGUGCUUGCACUGGAUAAAGUUGGUUGAGUCACACCUUGCCCUCUCCACAUGGAGCCUAGGCAGAGGCAGCUGAAAGAAGAGGGCAAAGGAAGAACCAGGGACAGAACUCCCAGGCCCUGGGGAAACUAGAGUGAAACUAGAAGAGAAAUUGGCAAGAGUCCAGGCAAGAGCCACGCUACUCUGGGCUUGGUCUCUGCAGCUGCAUACGGGCGCAGACUGUUCAUGCCCUGCCUUCUGCGCGGGGAAGAGGCAGAAGAGAAGGGGGGGCAGCCCCUCCUAGUGGUCUCCAUGCUCCCCUCUCAUGACCCUGCGCCCUGGGGGUGGAGUACGGGGACGCUGGUGGCAGCACGUUCAGAAAAGCCCAGAGGCACUGGGUGCUGAGAUACUGAGGAGACAGACCACUGCCCUCCCUGGCCCUGCCUACACUGACAUCGCCAGAGGACAGAUGAAGGGCAAGCGAACCACUCAGGCAACUGGGAGGCCACUCCCUGCAGGCCAAAUUACUUCUGCCUAAAGAGCAACAAACAUUUACCACCGAACCACCCGGCCUCCCCCAACACACUAAUCACUCUGCUCUCAUUAACACAGCCUGUACACAAACAGCAUGUGCACGCGCUUGCGUGUGUGAUGCGUGGGGGGCAGGAUCUCUCCCUCUCCCACGUAAACACCAGAUUCAUUUAUUAAAUGCCUCUCUGGCAUUUCCUUUUUUGCCUUCAUCCUGCUUGUUUAAUAUUGCAUUUGACAUUCUCAUUUUAUAAAUGGCAACAGAAGCAGAAUGGAUGGCUAAAAUUAGCUUACGAGUGAGAAUGAUGCUACAAAUAGGAUUGUGAAUACAGAAGCCUAGUUAAUUCCACCCACAUUACCCGCCCCCCUCCCCACACACAAAUACACCCACCACUUUUGGGCUGGUUCCCGACUGAGUUGUCUUCAGGGCUGAGGAGGAGCAGCUGGAAGGAGUGGGGGGGUGAGCCAAUCACUGGGCACCUUGCCAGGUGGCAGGGCCCAGAAGCCGACCCUAGCCUGCGGCUGGCCUCCAUGGAUGGGCUGGUCACAGCACCGCAGCCCUGAGUCCAAGAGGACAGCUCAGGACCCUCCUCCCUUCUUAUCCUUCUGCCCUUCCUUCCCCAGAAUCCCCUGUUCCGAGUCAAUCCCCCAGGUAUGCCCUGGGCUGAAGGGUAGCAGGCCUAAGAUCUCAGUAGGCUUUGCUCUUAGAAGUGGAUUUUUCUGGAACCUUCUUAAAGAAUGAGUCAGGUGAAGAGUGGGACUCAGCUUUUCCAGGACCUAGACAAUCACAUCUCUUGGUUCCUCCUGCUUUGGGAGGUGCACCACCUCCUUUCCUAGGACCAUCCCCAGAGGCACUGAGAGUGCCCACCUCAUACUCUCCAUCCCUGCCCCGCAGGCUCGGGACCCAGUCCUGCCCAGGUCCCGCACCACUUGCAUUUUACUGACUUAUAAUCUGCUGAGGACCUCCUUACCUGCUAACUCUUUAUUUGCUCAGUAAAAUAAUUCUAAGAAUGAUGACAAUGACGACAGUGG